rnacentral:rRNA from 1 species
ACUCCUACGGGGAGGCAGCAGUGGGAAUGAUUGCACAAUGGGCGCAAGCCUGAUGCAGCCAUGCCGCGUGAUGUAGCAAGAAUGGGCCUUCGGGUUGAUGAAGCACUUUUCAGUCGUGAGGAAGGUAGUGUAGUUAAUAGCUGCAUUAUUUGACGUUAGCGACAGAAGAAGCACCGGCUAACUCCGUGCCAGCAGCCGCGGUAAUACGGAGGGUGCGAGCGUUAAUCGGAAUUACUGGGCGUAAAGCGCAUGCAGGUGGUUUGUUAAGUCAGAUGUGAAAGCCCGGGGCUCAACCUCGGAAUUGCAUUUGAAACUGGCAGACUAGAGUACUGUAGAGGGGGGU